ensembl:lncRNA
UUUAUGUACAACGUUGUCAACAAAUUUAGGUUGCUGUUACUCCCGUCCCUAUUGCAGAAUGCAGCCUUUUGACAGCAUGUACUAAAGUCGAUUUAAUCCAAACAUGCAUUUAGGGGCUCCUGAGUGGCGCAGUGGUCUAAGUCACAAGUGCAAGAGGUGUAGUACCUGGUUUGAAUCCAGGCUGCAUCACAUCAGGCUGUGAUUGGGAGUCCCAGAGUGCGGCGCACAGUUGUCCGGGUUUGGCCGAGGUAAAUAAGAAUUUGCUCUUAACUGACUUGUCUAGUUCAAGGAAGGUGAAAUACAUUUUAAAAACGUGUAAAUUUGUCCCCUCGUUUGGUGAUUGGUAUUUAGGCUGAGACAACCAAAAAGGCAGCAGACAGAGACCUACUGUAUGUAUUAGCAGGGAAGUUUGGUAGGGUGACCUGAUUUGUAACAAUUAACCAUUUUUUCUAACCCAAAAGUAUACGUUUCUAGAGGGGUGACAAUAAAUAGAACAAUUAUUUGGUUAGGGUGAGAUGCAGAUUGUCAUCUUGUCAUCAGGAGAUUUUAAUAUUUAGUCUGAUCAGUGGAACAAUUUAAUUCUUAACAAUGGGCUAAAAUAUGGUAAUUAGUGUGCUUGUCAGCAAGAACAUUCCUGUUAUUCCCCACACUUAUUUUAUUAUUCCACUUCUUCACAAUUUUGCCAUCAGAAAUGUAUUUUUGCAGCCGUUCAUGGACGUUUUGAAUAAGUCAUACAAAUAAGCAUUGGAUAUUAAAUGCUCCUAGAAUCAAAUAUAAUUUGACAUUUUAGUAUUGUGCACAUGCUAGGCAGACAUGGUAAGGGGACUCACAAAUCAUAAACACAUAUUUUGUCUAUGUAGAGUAAGAUCAUGGCAAGGAUCUUCAACAGGUAGGCAUGAACCACCUGAAUAUUGAUAUUCAUUAUAUUUUUCUUGAGGUUAGGUGAUUUAGAGAAAUUCAUUUUUAUAACAAGAACAUUUUCAAACACCUAGUACUUGGGAAACAUAGACCAGGCGUGGCCAACCCUCCUGGGGAGCAAGCAGGAUUUUCUUACAAAAUGCUUGUGUCUUUACUUUGCAAGCAGUCUAUGGCCAAGGAGACUGCAAUCUAUGAUUUGGUUACCCAUUGCCAACAACCAUUAAUACUAGCAGGGCUAUUUCCUGUGCAGAGCCUUGGGGUAGUGGUAACACUCCCUGGCAGGUAUCAUAUGGCAUCAUUUCCACCUGAGAACCGGGAUCAGUCCCUGCUUCCAACCUCCACACUGUUACUCCCAUUUGCCUGUCUUAUGUCAUUACUGUUUGAGUAAAGUGUCAAACCACCUAAAACAUAUUAGCAUAUUUUACAUUUAAUUCACCAAAAAUCUAAAAGUAGUCACAUUUUGUGUGUUCAUUUAAUGUUCCAAGAAUCCUGAAUACACCUAACCUGUGUUUUUUUUUUUUUUUUUAAAUGUCCCACCCUGGUCAUAGGCCUAAGCCAUGUAAAAAUAAGUCGAAUUGCAGGACUCGGAUCUACAGUCGCGCUGGUUUUGCUGUUGAGUAAGUAUGAGGGGUGAAUGUAGCACAUGGGGAUGGAUGUGUGUGCCUGAACUGUCCCCACUUGCACCAGCGAAUAGCUAGCUUUCUGCUUGGCGCUGACUGGUACUCGCUAAGCAAGCAGUGUGACAUCCUUAACAUUAGCAUUUAGCAGUCACUUCUUCUAAACCUGAAAUGGACAACUUCUACAUGAAUCUUCUCUUACCAGACUGGGUUCAAAUUACUUCUGUUUCCUUUUUUUCUGUCUGUCUAUUAUUUUACUGCUCUAGGGAUGUUAUUAUUGUUUAGAUAACCUUAUUUACUAUUAUGUAUUGAUCUUGACCCUUUUUAUGCGAUGUUGUUACGGUAUUCUUCCGGUGAAAGAGAGGCGGACCAAAAUGCAGUGUGGUUGAAGUUCAUGUUGUUGUUUUUUUUAUAAGAAAAACUAUACAUUAACAAACUACAAAAACAAGACCCGUGUAAACCGAACCAGUCCUAACUGGCGCAAAACACAGAGACAAUAUGGUUCCCAAUCAGAGACAACGAUAAACACCUGCCUCUGAUUGAGAACCACUCUAGGCAACCAUAGACUUUCCUAGACUACUUAACUAAAAACAAUCCCAUAAACUACAAAACCCCUAGACAAAACAAACCAUUUAAAUCACACCCUGGCCUAACCAAAAUAAUAAAGAGAACACAGAAUACUAAAACCAGGGCGUGACAGAUGUGCAAUGUAGAGAACACCGGAAGAAGAAUGAUCAUUUAAUGACCAUAGUGAAUUAUUGUAAUGAUUAUUUGUCAAUUAAUACCAUAAGGGAUGGGUUGCUAAUUGGCAAUUUGACACGAAUAGAAAAAUAUUCAUUCAUUAAUUCCAUUCAUUGUUCUGCAGUGAAAACAGGCAAAUACAGGUGUAUAUCCAAAUUGGACUUAAACGGGAUCGGUGUCCCUAAACCGGGACAUUUAUUGCUAAAGUGCGCUAAUGUGACUAGAAUGACGUAAGUAACAGACAACUAUCCAGGACAUAGACAUGUCUUAUAUGGGCAGAAAGCUGAAAUUCUUGUUAAUCUAACUGCAGUGUCGAAUUUACAGUAGCUAUUACAGUGACAAAAUACCAUGCUAUUGCUUGAGGAGAGUGCACAACAACAAAACACAUCACUGCAAGGUAAAUAAUGUACUUACAUUGAGGCCUGAUUUGUCAUCCUGAGGGUCCCAGAGAUAAAAUGUAGCAUAGUUUUGUUUGAUAAAAUCAAUUGUUAUAUUUAAAUGUAGGAACUGGGAUCUACAGUUCGGAUCCCUGCUGUCUGCCAUGCAAUGCUGACUCUCUCACCCUGAAAAUAACACGUUUUGAAAUCAGUCGAACACAACAGGCCAAACAAGCUGUGCAAACUAAAUGGAAACACAGGAUGUCUUAUAAAAGGGGUUGCAGCCUGCCGUGAAGCUUUCAUUCAUGUAUACAGGUAAGAAUCUAGCUACAGAUAAUAUGCAUUUCUAAUUUUGUCAAAGUUUUCAUUGCAGGCUAAAGCUUGCUGUUAGCUAGCGAGCUGAAGUUUGAUGGAUGGCUGGCUGGCUUGCUAACUAACAUUGAACCUAAUGUUAUUUGAACCUAACUUUAAUUUGCUAUGACAAUCGGUUUGUAUUGCUAGUAACGUUACUCUAUGGAUUGGGAUUAUAGUUCAUGUUUUAGCUAGCUAAUGUCAACGUGACAUGUCUAAACAAAAGUCCCCAGCUUGCUGUUAGCUAGCUAACGUUAGCUGAGGUUAGGUAGCUGGCUUGCUAGCUAACAUUAACUUAUGUGUGUGAGGUUUUCUCAGAAUGCCAUUUUGCAUUGCUAACUAGCUACCAUUUAACCUAUUGGUUAACUUUAGCCUGCUAUGACAAUCCGUUUGUAUUGCUAGUUAAUGCUUGCUGUUAGCUAGCCAGCUGACGUUAGAUGGCUGGCUACAGUAGCUAACAUUACUUGUAUGAACUGUGUGUAGUUGUGAACUGUGUGUUGUGUGCCGUCCCUAGGAGGGGUGCGUUACUUGAGUGCGUUGAGUUGCUGACGUGGUCUUUCUUGUCUGGAGUAUUUCUCCUGUCUUAUCCGGUGUCCUGUGAACUUAAGUAUGCUCUCUCUAAUUCUCUCUUUCUCUCUCUUGGAGGACCUGAGCCCUACGACCAUGCCUCAGGACUACCUGGCAUGAUGACUCCUUGCUGUCCCCAGUCCACCUGGCCGUGCUGCUGCUCCAGUUUCAACUUUUAUGCCUGAGGCUAUGGAACCAUGACCUGUUCACCGGACGUGCUACCUGUCCCAGACCUGCUGUUUUCAACUCUCUAGAGACAGCAGGAGCGGUAGAGAUACUCUCAAUGAUUGGCUAUGAAAAGCCAACUGACAUUUACUCCUGAGAUCGUUCUGUUAUAAUCUCCACCCGGCACAACCAGAAGAGGACUGGCCACCCCCCACAGCCUGGUUCUUCUCUAGGUUUUGGCCUUUCUAGGGAGUUUUUCCUAGCCACCGUGCUUCUACACCUGCAUUGCUUGCUGUUUGGGGUUUUAGGCUGGGUUUCUGUACAGCACUUUGAUAUAUUAGUUGAUCUUCAAUUAGUAGAACAUGCCUGACUAAUCCACCAGCCAUCAAAAAGAGAGCUGGCGCAAGCAAAGGCAGCAGCGCAGUCAUCAACUAUGUAUGGAGUUGGGGAAAACACAUGUGGACCUGAAAUGUGGUAACUGCAGUGGCCAAAACAAGAACAAGUUUGUGCUCUGGUAUUGUGCCUGGUGGACCAUGCACAAGCUCCACCACAAUCUGGACCUUCACUUCCUGAUCAUAGGCCACACCAAGUUUGUCCCUGACUGGUGCUUCGGCCUCAUCAAACAGCUCUUUAGAAAGACCAGAGUGAACACUUUGUAUGAGAUUGCUGGUGUUGUGAAGGACAGCACUGUGACGGGGUCAAUAUCCCACAGCUAGUUGGACUGGAGGAUGGCACGGUGCUGGUGGAAAGCUAUGGCUGUCAACAACACCUGACUCCGUACUUCAGGCCGCUGCCACAGAUCAAGCAAUACCAGCACUUCAGCUUUCAUGCUUUGGUGCCUGGUGUUGUCGCCAAGGAGCUUUCGGACUGUCGGCACCAGGUUUCAGCUGCUGCGUAACGCUGACAUCCUUCCCCUCAUAGAUGGUCUGCCUUCAAAAGCAUCAUCUGGACUGGACACAACUAGACAAACUAUAUUUUGGACAAGAUCAGGGACAAGAUCACAUGACCUGCAGCAAAAACAAGGGCAGAACAAAAACAGGCUCUCCGAAUAUAGAUUUCCUUGUUCAUGCGUGGUUUGGACGGACCAGUCAUCAGCACUAUCUGCAGUGCCUCUAUUCACAUGACUCUCUCCUAACACACAAGCCAGACGUUGCUGCUACUAUUUGUUUUUAUCCUGCUGCUCAACCACUUUACCCCUGAUUGUAUGCAUAUAACUACCUCGUCUAUCACUGAUAUCGUUAUUGAUAUUGUUCUUGUACAUACUGUAUAUUUGAUUUAUAUUGACACUAUUUCUGAUAUUGCUACUAUGCAAGUAACCAUUUGGCUGUACCAUUUACACCUUCUGUAGAGACCCUCCACUUAGCAAGACUUAGCAAAAUAUUGAUAUAUAAAAUGAAUAUUGAUAUGUUUGGUCAUAACAUGAUUUUGUGUUAUGUAUAAGUAUCAAGUGUCCACCACAUAAAUAUAUGGUGCAUGCAUCUGUUUAUAUACUGUACAUGUGCAAAAAAACAACUCACUCCAGUUUCAACAGGUUGCAUGGCCUUAACUUGUGUUUGGAAUACUAUGUGAUAAGUGCAUGUGUAACAGUAUAUAAAGUAUGCUAAUGUACUGGUGUGAAGGUAUUUGGGCAGUGGUGUAAAAUACUUUAAAGUGCUACUUAAGUAGUUUUUUGUGGUAUCUGGUAUACAUUACUAUUUAUAUAUUUUUUUUUAAUCUUUUCACUACAUUUGUAAAGAAAAUAAUUUACUUUUUACUACAUACAUUUUCCUUGACACCCAAAAGUACUUGUUACAUUUUGACAGGAAAAUUGUCCAAUUCUCUCACUUAUCAACAGAACAUCCCUGGUCAUCCCUACUGCCUCUGAUCUGGCAGACUCACUAAACACAAAUGCUCACAAAUGCUUUGUAAAUUAUGUCAGUGUUGGAGCAUGCCCCUGGCUAUCUAUCAAUAAAAAUGUAAAAAAUAAUUCAAUUCUGCCAUCUGGUUUUCUUAAUAUAAGGAAUUUGAAAUGGGUUAUAUUUGUAAUUUAACUUUUGAUACUUAAGUACAUUGUGCCCCUGGCUAUCUGUCAAUAAUAAAAACAAUUGUGCCGUCUGGUUUAA